CGACCCCAACCGCCAAACGAACCCUAGCCCCCUUUCUUCGUCCCCUCAAUCCCUAUAGCCGCUGCACCCCUCCCUCUCCCUUCUGUGCGUGCGCUCGACCAAGGACGUCGUCGUCGCCCUCGGCUGCUCCUCCACGCCGGGGUCUUCCUCCUCUUUCUCCUCGCCUUCCCAUCGGUUGCGCUCAGGUCGUCACCGUCGACGAAUAGGAUAGUGCGGGCCGCUUCCUCCUUUUCCUCCGGCCGGAUCUAUGGCGUGCGACCGCGGAGGCGAGCCUCUCCGGUGGCAGAGGCAAAGGGCGACCACAUGGAUCGAUCCCUGCAGGAGAUAGAAGAUGGGAGAGAGGGAAAGAAGGAAGGAGAGGAGGAAGACCCAGUGGCGGGCGGGAGAGGGUCACCAGCCGGCGCCGGCGAGGUCAAGUGCGACCUGAUGGUUGGCGGCGGCUCGAUCCACUCCUGGAUCUUUAUUGUUCCACUUCCCCACUACCUAACACCGAGCAAGAGGGCUGCCCGAGGAAGAGGGUGAGGACGCAGGGAUUGAAGAGGGUGUUCCCGCAUUCAUCGUCUGGCCAAGUGCAAGGACGAGGACGAGGACGCGGGGUGGAGCAUGUCAUCCCUCUGGUUAUCGCCUUCCUUUCUGCUGCUGGGCUGAGAUGAGGGUUUUCUCCAGCGAUUGUGGUGGCCUGAGUCAGAGAUCGACAGCCAGAUGCUUGUGGCUACCACACAAAACGUGCUCUCUUACUGACCUCGAGGUCCGGCCGCAAUUCCUCUUGUUUUUGCUCCAAGGUAUAGAAGAAGGACCUUUGCUUAAUGGUUGAUUUUCUUCUGCUCACGGCAGCUUGCUCGAGGCAAACAUGCAAGCCUGACGUGCACUGAUGGCGCUGCCGGCAGUAUCAAGGAUGGAAACAGCAAGACACUCUUUUAGGUCAGAGAAACUGGCGGUGCCAAUGAUAACGCCUGAACCUUCGUGACUGCAGCAGCCACCAUCAUGUUGUAGCUCAGCCAGACCACGACCAUCGAUAGGUGACCAUCUUCAUUGAGGUAAAAGGAAAAGAGAACAUUGGAGGAAAAGGCAAUAUGGCAGAUUCUCUAAGCUUUCUCAAAUGUUUGAAGGAAAAGAUAGUUACAAUUAUUUUUCUCUCGCCUUAUUACAUCUUGAUGUUAAUAGGCGUUGGAAGGUACUAUGGACCACAUUCAAGGUUUACCGUAUUUGCACAAUCCUAUUACAGUUUAUUCUGAUGAAAGAAUUGACCAGUUCUUCCUUGAGUAAAUUAGUAUUGCUGAUGCUACUCCUUUGUGCAUUGUUACAUAGAGUUAUAGUUGUGAAGGUGUGUACGAAUCAACAUAUAAUUCCCACCAUCCUAUUACAGUUUGUUUUGAUGACAAAUUGUGCAGCUCUUACUUGAGUAAAUUGUGCAGAUCUUCCUUGAGUAAAUUAGUAUUGUGGUUACUAAUCC